rnacentral:rRNA from 1 species
CACGUAGGGCGCAAGCGUUGUCCGGAAUUAUUGGGCGUAAAGAGCUCGUAGGCGGUCUGUUGCGUCUGCUGUGAAAACCCGGGGCUUAACCCCUGGCUUGCAGUGGAUACGGACAGACUAGAGGUAGGUAGGGGAGAAUGGAAUUCCCGGUGUAGCGGUGAAAUGCGCAGAUAUCGGGAGGAACACCGGUGGACGAAGGCGGUUCUCUGGGCCUUCCUGACGCUGAGGAGCGAAAGCGUGGGGAGCGAACAGGAUUAGAACCCGA